UUCGUGUAAUAUCGGUAAUAAAUCGUAUUGUAUAUAUACUUGAAAAUUAAAAACGUGGUGCGCGCGUGUUUCGUUGCAUUUUUUAAAAAUUAUUUAUAACUCUAUAUACGUAUUAUACCCGUGCAAUUUUUAGAUUGACAUUCCGAGGAGGAGUGAUAAACGCCUGUAUGGUUUACUACGACGGGUGUGCUCUACCGUCCGCAAACCGUUGUUCGACCAGAUGACCGAUUAUCGCGAUAAACAUAUUAUAGCUUGUGGUACAGUGUUUCGGAUCUCGGAGCGACUUUUCUGAAAUUCCUCGUACGGUU